CUGGCCCUGAAUCAAGGCCGGCAGUUUCCUGACGCUGUCGGUUUCAAGCAGGAGCUGAAAGAGAUGUCUUUCUAUGAGCUGUUGGCNNUUUCAGAACUUGGGCACUGAAAUGGUCAAUUCAUUAGGAAGAAACAGCU
ensembl:snoRNA